UUGUCCUACGGGGGGCAGCAGUGAGGAAUAUUGGUCAAUGGGCUUACGCCUGAACCAGCCAAGUCGCGUGAGGGAAGACUGCCCUAUGGGUUGUAAACCUCUUUUGUCAGGGAGCAACGCCGGCUACGUGUGCGGUUUGGAGAGUACCCGGAGAAAAAGCAUCGGCUAACUCCGUGCCAGCAGCCGCGGUAAUACGGAGGAUGCGAGCGUUAUCCGGAUUUAUUGGGUUUAAAGGGUGCGUAGGCGGACGCUUAAGUCAGCGGUAAAAUUGCGGGGCUCACCCUCGUCGAGCCGUUGAAACUGGG
rnacentral:rRNA from 1 species